rnacentral:rRNA from 1 species
GAUGAACGCUGGCGGCGUGCCUAAUACAUGCAAGUCGAGCGAACGGACGAGAAGCUUGCUUCUCUGAUGUUAGCGGCGGACGGGUGAGUAACACGUGGAUAACCUACCUAUAAGACUGGGAUAACUUCGGGAAACCGGAGCUAAUACCGGAUGAUAUUUUGAACCGCAUGGUUCAAAAGUGAAAGACGGUCUUGCUGUCACUUAUAGAUGGAUCCGCGCUGCAUUAGCUAGUUGGUAAGGUAACGGCUUACCAAGGCGACGAUGCAUAGCCGACCUGAGAGGGUGAUCGGCCACACUGGAACUGAGACACGGUCCAGACUCCUACGGGAGGCAGCAGUAGGGAAUCUUCCGCAAUGGGCGAAAGCCUGACGGAGCAACGCCGCGUGAGUGAUGAAGGUCUUCGGAUCGUAAAACUCUGUUAUUAGGAAAGAACAUAUGUGUAAGUAACUGUGCACAUCUUGACGGUACCUAAUCAGAAAGCCACGGCUAACUACGUG